rnacentral:misc_RNA from 1 species
AAGUCGUAACAAGGUCUCCGUUGGUGAACCAGCGGAGGGAUCAUUACCGAGUCUAACAACUCAUCAACCCUGUGAACAUACCUAAACGUUGCUUCGGCGGGAACAGACGGCCCCGUAACACGGGCCGCCCCCGCCAGAGGACCCCCUAACUCUGUUUCUAUAAAUGUUUUUUCUGAGUAAACAAGCAAAUAAAUUAAAACUUUCAACAACGGAUCUCUUGGCUCUG